rnacentral:rRNA from 1 species
CUGGGCGAGGUGAAGGUAAUAACCGGAUCCGUGCUCGGUCCCGUGCCUUGGCCUCCCGCGGAUCUGCCUCGCUGCGAGGCUUCCGUGACGGCUUGCCGACGCGGUCGUCCUCUUCGGCCGCUAUUUAACGGUCAGCUCAGAACUGGCACGGACUGGGGGAAUCCGACUGUCUAAUUAAAACAAAGCAUUGCGAUGGCCCUAGCGGGUGUUGACGCAAUGUGAUUUCUGCCCAGUGCUCUGAAUGUCAACGUGAAGAAAUUCAAGCAAGCGCGGGUAAACGGCGGGAGUAACUAUGACUCACGCUGGGCGUCACGCUGGGCCGCAGUGCCUUAAGAGCUUAGUUACCUAAAGGAUCGAUGAUGCGAACACACAGCCUAUCUCGAUCAAGUCUGGCACCACCUUCUCGUGGUUUCCGCUGACAAUCUCAACCGAGGCAGCCCGGUGAGAGCAAACGGUGUCCAGUCGAACGUGCGUGCACCCCAAUGGGGUAGCGUCGGUGCUUUUGUACGGCUACUCAAAACCUAUGUCCUACGGUGAGUUGUGGGGUCAAGAAAGGACGGGUUGCUUCGGGGGCUCUCGGUUGUCAAUCCGUUAGUCCCCAACACGCAGCAAAUAUGGAAAAGACAAACAAGAGAAUGUAUCCACGCCCGGGUUCUCGGAUGGCUCGGGCACUGCGUGUUAGUGAGAGCGAGUGUGUUGUGCCUGGUAGUAGUGGGCCGGCCAAUGCACAGGUGGAGGAAGUUCCCACGAGUGCUCAUAGCGUAGGCAGAACAACUGCCAAUGAACUGUUUCGUUGCGAACAUUGCGACAGGGAGUUCAAUACCAAGCGUGGGCUUGGUGUGCACGUUAGAUUUGCACAUAAAGAAGCUGCCAACGACCUGAUCGACGUAGAAAGGGUUAGACCCCGUUGGCCUGAGGAGGAGGUGCGACUGAUGGCGCGGGCUGAGGCUACGGCCACCUUAGCGGGGGUUCGGUACAUGAAUCAACACCUUUCUGUACUGUUCCCUAAUAGGUCUCUUGAAGGCAUCAAGGGUAAACGGCGCAAUGCUGCUUACCAAGCGAUGGUUCUUGAGUUCCGCCAACAGGAAUUAGAUUCAAAUUCUGAUUCUGAUGACGGCUUGGUGGCGGAUGCGACAAUGACACGAGUCGCCCGCACACCUGACCGGCCUUCAGUUGCCAUCGAACAACAAACACCCCAGUCUCCAAUACUCCAUGACCAAGAUGGUCUUGGAAGAGUGCGCUUAGCGAUCGCGACUUUGUUAGAGUCAACUGCGCGCUAUCGUAUCUAUGAGGCUGGCACUCUGCGGGAAGUCGCACGAGAUGCUCUGGCGGGGGAGAGAGUAGUUGACCGAUUGAAUGAUUGGCUCGCUGCGAUCUUCCCUGCUGGUCGGGUGAACCCUCCCAGACCCAAUCGAAAUCGAUCAGUGCGUCCUCCGGCAAAUGAGAAUAGGGAGCAAAGACGCAAGAGAGAGUUCGCAGCAAUGCAGAACCUCUAUCGAACUAACUUGCGUGCCUGUCUCGGUAAUAUACUCGAUGGAGACAUAACGCGGGAAAGGCCUUCUGGCAUCAGUUUUGCGCAGUACUGGCAGCCUCUUAUUGAGACGGUCAGUGCAGCUGAUGGCCAUAUGGAGGACCUCCGCCGGUCUGCCACUGGGUCGAGACAGAGUUUGAUCAGAGCCAGGUUGAGCAAUGGCCCUUCUACAUCAGGGUACGGCGUUGGGGCCGGCGUAAGCCGUGCCGCUGAUAAGUCCUCGCUCUGGGAUCCGAUCACGACAACCGAGGUUGUCCGGAUUCCUGUUAAAACUGGCUCUGCCCCUGGAUUGGACAAAAUAACACCUAGGGCCUGGAAAGCCGUUCCGGCGGAUCUACGGGCCCUAUUGUUCAAUCUAAUGCUCCUUGCAAGAGAGGUCCCUUCGUCGAUCUCCUCUUCCAGGACGGUCUUUCUGGAGAAAGGUAGUAUGCCAGAACAUCCGGCACCUUCUGACUACCGGCCUCUAAGUAUAGGCUCUGUCGUGUUGAGGCAGUUUCACAAGAUUUUAGGCAGGAGGUUGGCUGCUCUUGACAUAUUCGAUGAGAGGCAAAGAGGCUUCCGGCCCGUCGAUGGCGUCUGCGAAAACGUAGAAGUGCUGUCUGCGGUGCUGGCGGACGCUCGGCGCCGAUGUCGAACGGUACAUAUGGCGUGCGUUGACCUGUCGAAGGCAUUCGACACGGUCUCGCACGGUGCGAUCCAUCUUGCACUGGAGGAGGCGGGUCUCCCGCUCUCCUUCAGAGAGUACAUUAGAGCAUGCUACUCCAAUGCUACGACAGCGCUUCAGCUGCCGGAUCUUUGUGAGACGCCAAGAAUACAGCUGGGUAGAGGCGUGAAGCAAGGCGAUCCUCUGUCGCCCCUACUGUUCAAUCUGGUCGUAGACCGAGCUUUAGGGGUUCUCUCGGAGGAUGUUGGAUAUAGGCUUAAUGGCGAACUAAUUGGCGCCCUGGCUUACGCUGACGACAUUGUACU